GGGCGAUUAACUCAGCGGUAGAGUGCCAUCUUCACACGGUGGACGUCGCUGGUUCGACUCCAGCAUCGCCCA
rnacentral:tRNA from 1 species